CCCGCACAAGCGGUGGAGUAUGUAGUUUAAUUCGAUGCAACGCGAAGAACCUUACCUGGUCUUGACAUCCCGGAGACCCUUAGGAAACUAGGGGGUGCUUCCAUCUGGAAGAAUUUGGAGACAGGUGCUGCAUGGCUGUCGUCAGCUCGUGUCGUGAGAUGUUGGGUUAAGUCCCGCAACGAGCGCAACCCUUGCCUUUAGUUGCCAGCAGUUCGGCUGGGCACUCUAAAGGGACUGCCGGUGUUAAACCGGAGGAAGGUGGGGAUGACGUCAAGUCCUCAUGGCCUUUAUGACCAGGGCUACACACGUACUACAAUGGCCGAUACAAAGGGCAGCGACACUGCGAGGUGAAGCCAAUCCCGUAAAAUCGGUCUCAGUCCGGAUUGGAGUCUGCAACUCGACUCCAUGAAGUUGGAAUCGCUAGUAAUCGUGGAUCAGCAUGCCACGGUGAAUACGUUCCCGGGCCUU
rnacentral:rRNA from 1 species